AGCGAACGCUGGCGGCAGGCUUAACACAUGCAAGUCGAGCGGGCGUAGCAAUACGUCAGCGGCAGACGGGUGAGUAACGCGUGGGAACAUACCUUUUGGUUCGGAACAACUGAGGGAAACUUCAGCUAAUACCGGAUAAGCCCUUACGGGGAAAGAUUUAUCGCCGAAAGAUUGGCCCGCGUCUGAUUAGCUUGUUGGUGAGGUAACGGCUCACCAAGGCGACGAUCAGUAGCUGGCUGAGAGGAUGAUCAGCCACAUUGGGACUGAGACACGGCCCAAACUCCUACGGGAGGCAGCAGUGGGGAAUAUUGGACAAUGGGCGCAAGCCUGAUCCAGCCAUGCCGCGUGAGUGAUGAAGGCCCCUAGGGUUGUAAAGCUCUUUUGUGCGGGAAGAUAAUGACGGUACCGCAAGAAUAAGCCCCGGCUAACUUCGUGCCAGCCGCCGCCGUAAG
rnacentral:rRNA from 1 species